CCUACGGGGGGCAGCAGUGGGGAAUAUUGGACAAUGGGCGAAAGCCUGAUCCGGCCAUGCCGCGUGUGUGAAGAAGGCCUUCGGGUUGUAAAGCACUUUCAGUGGGGAAGAAAGCCUUGGGGCUAAUACCCUCGAGGAAGGACAUCACCCACAGAAGAAGCACCGGCUAACUCCGUGCCAGCAGCCGCGGUAAUACGGAGGGUGCGAGCGUUAAUCGGAAUUACUGGGCGUAAAGCGCGCGUAGGCGGUCUGAUAAGCCGGUUGUGAAAGCCCCGGGCUCAACCUGGGAACGGCAUCCGGAACUGUCAGGCUAGAGGGGAGGAGAGGAAGGUAGAAUUCCCGGUGUAGCGGUGAAAUGCGUAGAGAUCGGGAGGAAUACCAGUGGCGAAGGCGGCCUUCUGGACUGACACUGACGCUGAGGUGCGAAAGCGUGGGUAGCAAACAGGAUUAGAUACCCCAGUAGUC
rnacentral:rRNA from 1 species